rnacentral:rRNA from 1 species
GACGAACGCUGGCGGCGUGCUUAACACAUGCAAGUCGAACGGAAAGGCCCUGCUUUUGUGGGGUGCUCGAGUGGCGAACGGGUGAGUAACACGUGAGUAACCUGCCCUUGACUUUGGGAUAACUUCAGGAAACUGGGGCUAAUACCGGAUAGGAGCUCCUGCUGCUUGUUGGGGGUUGGAAAUUUUCGGCGGUUGGGGAUGGACUCGCGGCUUUUCAGCUUGUUGGUGGGGUAGUGGCUUACCAAGGCUUUGACGGGUAGCCGGCCUGAGAGGGUGACCGGCCACAUUGGGACUGAGAUACGGCCCAGACUCCUACGGGAGGCAGCAGUGGGGAAUAUUGCACAAUGGGCGGAAGCCUGAUGCAGCAACGCCGCGUGCGGGAUGACGGCCUUCGGGUUGUAAACCGCUUUCGCCUGUGACGAAGCGUGAGUGACGGUAAUGGGUAAAGAAGCACCGGCUAACUACGUG